rnacentral:snRNA from 1 species
GGAUGUGAGGGCGAUCUGGCUGCGACAUCUGUCACCCCAUUGAUCGCCAGGGUUGAUUCGGCUGAUCUGGCUGGCUAGGUGGGUGUCCCCUUCCUCCCUCACCGCUCCAUGUGCGUCCCUCCCGAAGCUGUGCGCUGGGUCGAAGAGGACGACCAUCCCUGAUAGAGGAGGACCGUUCUUCGGUCAAGGGUAUACGAGUAGCUGCGCUCCCCUGCUAGAACCUCCAAACAAGCUCUCUCAACCAAUAAACCAGGCGUGAUGGCAAGUGCCUGUGAUCCUAGCUACCCAGGAGGCAUAGGUAGGAGGAUUGCAGUCUGAGGCC